rnacentral:tRNA from 1 species
CAGUGAAUAGUUUAUUUAAAAUAUUAAUUUUGGGGAUUAAUGAUGUGUGUUUUUGCUCUUUACUGA